UGCCAGCAGCCGCGGUAAUACAGAGGGCUCGAGCGUUAAUCGGAAUCACUGGGCUUAAAGCGUGCGUAGGCGGAUUAGAAAGUUAGAGGUGAAAUCCCGGGGCUCAACCCCGGAACUGCCUUUAAAACUACUAGUCUAGAGUUCGAGAGAGGUGAGUGGAAUUCCGAGUGUAGAGGUGAAAUUCGUAGAUAUUCGGAGGAACACCAGUGGCGAAGGCGGCUCACUGGUUCGAUACUGACGCUGAGGUGCGAAAGUGUGGGGAGCAAACAGGAUUAGAUA
rnacentral:rRNA from 1 species